rnacentral:rRNA from 2 species
ACGGAAGGCAGCAGUGGGGAAUAUUGCACAAUGGGGGAAACCCUGAUGCAGCGACGCCGCGUGAGUGAAGAAGUAUUUCGGUAUGUAAAGCUCUAUCAGCAGGAAAGAAAAUGACGGUACCUGACUAAGAAGCCCCGGCUAACUACGUGCCAGCAGCCGCGGUAAUACGUAGGGGGCAAGCGUUAUCCGGAUUUACUGGGUGUAAAGGGAGCGUAGACGGCUUUGCAAGUCUGAAGUGAAAGCCCGGGGCUCAACCCCGGAACUGCUUUGGAAACUGUAGAGCUAGAGUGCAGGAGAGGUAAGUGGAAUUCCUAGUGUAGCGGUGAAAUGCGUAGAUAUUAGGAGGAACACCAGUGGCGAAGGCGGCUUACUGGACUGUAACUGACGUUGAGGCUCGAAGGCGUGGGGAGCAGACAGGAUUAGAUACCCUGGUA